CCCUUUCUAUUCCAUGUGUUCUCUCAUUUUUUUCUUCGUCGUUGGGUAAAACUCUUAAUAGAGAAUUUCGAGCGAAUCAGAUUUGAAUCCAGGUGUUGUUCCUGAUACUAAUGUCUAAAAGUCAUAUGCUAUUUGUUGUUUCAACGAUGCUGAGCUAGAAAGAAGAUAAAGAAGACUUUGUGCUCACAACUUACAAGUUUUCUCUAGCCUUGAGAUAAGAAUUGAUGCGGAACAUCUGAUAUAUGGUGCGACCUCUGAAAUUUUGAAGGGAACUGUUGAAUUUAUUGCUUCUACAGAAUAUAUGGUGCGACCUCUGAUACCGCCAACAUGGUUUUCCUCAUUGAUGUAUCAAUUUCUGUGGUUAAAAGUUGGGAUGAUUUGGAGUGCUAUUAGCCAAAAGUGCACUUGACUAGCUACCAUUUUCUGUUACUGUAACUUUCCAGAUUCAUGGUCUGCAAUGCAUCAUCACCUAUUUGAUUAUGAAUUCAACGGGGGAGGAUGCGUAUCUCCAGCUAGAUUUAGUAAGUAUAUGUUUAGUCUUCGCUACCCAUAACCAUUUGGCACAUGUAUUUAUGAUAUGAAGUUGGAAAAACUCCUAAUAUAAUUAAAUUUUGUUCUAUUUUGCAGAAUCAUUAGUUUAUUUUUAUAAGUUUCAUUUUCUGGAUGAACUUAAAAUAAUUUAUUAGAUUCUCGGGGAGAAUUUCUCCCAUAUGUUGGAUGCAAAAAUAUAUAAGGUUCCUGCAGUUACAAUAUCAACUUAUCGAAAAUGCGAACAAUAUUCAUAGGGGAUUCAAACAUAUAUUAUGCGUAAUGGAGGUAGUAUGUCUGUUUGAAGACGUGAGAGUAAUUAAAGCGUAUCUGCUAAUUAACUUAGUUCAUUUGAAUCCUGCGAACUUCAUUAGGUUCCCCUUUAGAUAUGGAGUAUUAGUUAAGUCCUCAGAUACUGUAUGUAGACAAUUCGAUAUUUACCAAGCUUAGCCUUAGUUCGUGUAGUUUUGUUUUUUCCAUAAAGACAAUUGAUGGUUUUAAGGGCAAGUUAAAUUAUAUUUGGAUGAUCAAUUUAGGCUGGGCGCACAACUAGUUAAGAUUAAAUCAAUUAAAUCUUUGGCGUUUUGUAUUUCUUCAAGGAAAAAUACAGUAGUAAAGCUACAAAUGCAGUUGGGAGCUUGUAAUAGUUGUGCUAGUUCAGCUGUUACUCUAAGGUAUCAAGACGACCUGAUUCAGGACUUACAGUUUUCAAUUGAUGCAAUUCAGCGGUAGUUUACAGAAAAUAUACAAAAUUUCCUCAACCUCUUUCAGCGGCUAAUUUCUCUAUUUUAACCUUUGUGGGUCUGUGCAGAUUACCUCACCGAAUGGUUCAUUCUCUUCCUCAUCAGACGUGUUGUGAGUGUGGACAAAACCUCCUAGUAUGCCAUAUCUAUCGCAUAGCCGCCAAGUAUGCUUUAAAUUCUAAAAAUAGACAGUUGAUAUAGGUUUUUUUUGCUUUUGCUUCUUAUGGUCUAAAUUGCAAAUAGCUGAGGGUUUAGGAAGUUGUGGGAUGUUCAUACUCUGUUGAAAUUUGAAAAUUUCUCAUUUGGA